rnacentral:rRNA from 1 species
AGAGUUUGAUCCUGGCUCAGAACUAACGCUGGCGGCGUGCCUAACACAUGCAAGUCGUACGAGAAAGUUGGCUUCGGCUGAUGAGUAAAGUGGCGCACGGGUGAGUAACGCGUGGAUAAUCUGCCCUUUAGUUGGGAAUAACGUACCGAAAGGUGCGCUAAUACCGAAUAAUACUGAGUGACUACUGUUACUUAGUCAAAGAAGGCCUCUGUUUACAAGCUUUUGCUGAGGGAUGAGUCCGCGUACCAUUAGCUAGUUGGUAGGGUAAUGGCCUACCAAGGCUACGAUGGUUAGCUGGUCUGAGAGGAUGAUCAGCCACACUGGAACUGAGACACGGUCCAGACUCCUACGGGAGGCAGCAGUGAGGAAUAUUGCGCAAUGGGGGCAACCCUGACGCAGCAACGCCGCGUGAGUGAGGAAGGUUUUCGGACCGUAAAGCUCUGUCGAGUGGGAAGAAAUGUGUCAUGGCUAAUAUCCAUGAUACUUGACGGUACCGCUAAAGGAAGCACCGGCUAACUCCGUGCCAGCAGCCGCGGUAAUACGGGGGGUGCAAGCGUUGUUCGGAAUUAUUGGGCGUAAAGAGCGUGUAGGCGGCUGAAUAAGUCAGAUGUGAAAUCCCUGGGCUUAACCCAGGACGUGCAUUUGAAACUAUUCAGCUUGAGUAGGGGAGAGGAAAGUGGAAUUCCUGGUGUAGAGGUGAAAUUCGUAGAUAUCAGGAGGAACACCGGUGGCGAAGGCGACUUUCUGGCCCUAUACUGACGCUGAGACGCGAGAGCGUGGGUAGCAAACAGGAUUAGAUACCCUGGUAGUCC